AGCCGUCAUUCACACUGCGUUACGCUCCUCUCUUCUGUCCUCUCUUCGACUCUAUCUCUCUCAAACCGUUUCCUCUCAUGAAUUCAUCACCGCCGACCGCCACCGCCACCUCCUACCGCUGAGCCCCUCACCAACAACGCUCAGAUCCUCUCCUCUCAGUCUCGACGUCACAACAUCAGUGAGUCGUCGCCGUUAGAGCGUCCAAGCCUCUGCGCCACUUCUCAUUCUUCGUCGUCUUCGCCGUUGGAGUGUUCGAGCCUCUACGUCGCUUCUCAGCCAUCGCCGAUCUUCACCGAUAUCCGACCCUCUUUUCUUUCUUCUGAUAGGAUUCAAGUAAAUCAGAAUCCACAUCACUACCAUUACAACUAUUACAAGAUGAAGAAGGCUUAAGAAUUACUGAAAAUUAUGUUUCUAUGAUGUGAUAAAUUAUGUUUGGUUGUUUAUGGAUUAUGUAUAUGUUAUUAUGUUUGGCUGAUUUUGAAUGUAAUUUGGGAUUAUCUUUAUUUUCUAUUUUUUUCAAUUUUUUUUAUUUUUCUUGAUUUUUAUUAUUUUUUACAGAACUCCGCGGAUAUCCGCGGAGACCCCGGUCCCCGGCGGAUACGGGGUCCCCGUUACCCGUAGCGGGGACGGGGCGGGGACGGGGACAUGUUUUGGAGGCGAGGGACGGGGGGCGGGGGGCAUGUCCCCGCCCCCAUGGGGACCCGUUGGCAUCCCUAUAUGAAAUGUUGUAUACGGUUGGGUUGUGUUAAUUUAAACUUAUAUGAAUGUUAUACUUAAAAGUUUAACUAUAAGAUGAUGUAAAUGAUGAUGAAUUGUGGCUAGCCUUUUCGUUGUAGAUAUUGGCAGGUUGAUUGUUAAGAUAGAGGAAUGGUGAAAGAUUUUAUAAUUGGCAGGUUUAUUGUCACUAUUUUUUUAUAUUUUUUUUAUUAAUAGCAUGAAUAUUUUUGUUUAGAAUUAUUGUAUGUUCACUUAUCUAUGUCAUCGUAUUUUUUUAAUAGAAUUUUUAGUCUUCGUUGUUCA